rnacentral:rRNA from 1 species
GAUGAACGCUAGCUCCAGGCUUAACACAUGCAAGUCGAGGGGAAACGGCAUUAAGUGCUUGCACUUUUUGGACGUCGACCGGCGCACGGGUGAGUAACGCGUAUCCAACCUUCCCAUGACUAAGGGAUAACCUGCCGAAAGGCAGACUAAUACCUUAUGGUCUUCACUGACGGCAUCAGAUGUGAAGUAAAGAUUUAUCGGUUAUGGAUGGGGAUGCGUCUGAUUAGCUUGUUGGCGGUGUAACGGCCCACCAAGGCAACGAUCAGUAGGGGUUCUGAGAGGAAGGUCCCCGACAUGGGAACUGAGACACGGUCCAAACUCCUACGGGAGGCAGCAGUGAGGAAGAUUGGUCAAUGGGCGAGAGCCUGAACCAGCCAAGUAGCGUGCAGGAUGACGGCCCUAUGGGUGGUAAACUGCUUUUGUAUGGGGAUAAAGUCAAUCACGUGUGAUUGUUUGCAGGUACCAUACGAAUAAGGACCGGCUAAUUCCGUG